GACGAACGCUGGCGGCGUGCUUAACACAUGCAAGUCGAACGGAAAGGCCUGCUUUCCCUUGUGGAUUGCGGGUACUCGAGUGGCGAACGGGUGAGUAACACGUGAGUGAUCUGCCCCCAACUUGGGUAUAAGCCUGGGAAACUGGGUCUAAUUCCCGAUAGGACUGCAGGGUGGUGCCUGUGGUGGAAAACGAUUUUCUAGUGGUUGGGGAUGAGCUCGCGGCCUAUCAGCUUGGUGGUGGGGUAAUGGCCUACCAAGGCGGCGACGGGUAGCCGGCCUGAGAGGGUGGACGGCCACAUUGGGACUGAGAUACGGCCCAGACUCCUACGGGAGGCAGCAGUGGGGAAUAUUGCACAAUGGGCGGAAGCCUGAUGCAGCGACGCCGCGUGGGGGAUGACGGCCUUCGGGUUGUAAACUCCUUUCGACCGCGAGGAAGCCACCUGGUUGGAAGGGUGGUGACGGUAGUGGUAGAAGAAGCACCGGCUAACUACGUG
rnacentral:rRNA from 1 species